GGCUCAAUGGUCUAGUCGUAUGAUUGCUGCUUCGGGAUUCAUCUCCCUUCCAAUGAAGAUUUGGGAAUGUAGCAGGUCCCGGGUUCAAAUCCCGGUUGAGCCC